rnacentral:lncRNA from 1 species
UCAAUUCAUUGUCAGUCGCCCACAAUUUCUUCACUUAUUCAAUACAAUUUCAUUUCAUGAUUAAAACCUUUCAACUUUCUUUAAUCGAAAUAACCCCCAAUCAAUUCUGAACACUAAAAUUAAUUGAAACCCUUUCAACUUUCUUCAAUUAAAACUUUCGUGAAAUGUUACCAUGGUGAUUAAAGGAGUAUUUCAAGGGGCAAUACCCUAUUGAAGAUGCUAAACCCACACUCUCUCACCACCACUGGUUCCAGAAUUGCCUCAUACCGUCUUCAUUCACGUAUCAAACUCAGGGUGUUGGUUGAAAGAUAGUUUAAUCAUGAUUUGUUUGUACCAGAAGGUAAUGUUUUGAUCUUUUGAUUGGUGUUACUGAUAGUUUGUCACCUGUGAUACAAGUAAUGUUUUAAUCUAAGGUGUGAUUGGUUCUAAAUGUGCUAUGUAUGCUUGAUCUAUUAUGAUUUGGGCAAUUUUAUUGAAUAAGUAGUUUUGUGAAUUUAUCAGCUUUGAAUAUUUCUUUGUUACUAAUGACUAACUAAUAAUCUUAGAUUCUUGGUAUGGUUAGGCUUAUUGUAUCAUGUUAAUGCUUGUUGGUGUCUCAAGUUAGCG